GACACGGAGGGCCCGGGCGGGGAAGGGUGGGGGGCUUGCAGGGGUGCCUGGGUCGGGGGCUGCAGGUGGGAGUGAGCAAAUGUGCUGUCUCGCCACCUCGGGACAGGUGGUAGGGCCUCUGACACAGAGUGGUCCUUCCUGCUGUUCACAGCUCAGCUCACCGUGGGCUGACCAUAGAUUCUCGUUGAAAUCCUAACGCCCCAGGCAAUGAUGUUAGGAGGCGGGGCUUCUGGGAGAUGGCAAGUUCGUGAGGCUGCAGCUCUGCUGGGGGAUCAGUGUCCUUCUACAAGCGGCUCCAGGGAGGUCCCUUGCCCCUUCCACCAUGUGAGGACCCGAGAUGGUGCCGUCUAUGAACCGGGAAGUGAGUCCUCUCCGGACGUGGAACAAGUUGGUGCCUUGAUUUUGAACUUGCAGCCUCCAGCACGGCCACUAGCACGUUUGAAGUCACACACAGGGUAGCGCCGGCCUGGACAGAGGCGGACAUCUGACAAGCGGGCCAAUGAGGAUGACAUCUCGGACGGUAGUCACUGCUACAACGAAAGUCAGUGCCCCACCUUGCCCAGCCGCAGGGUGGACCCUAAGCAGCUCGCCCCACCCAGCCGGUCCUGCCUGCUCUGUCCCUCCCAACCCUGCAAUGGGCAGAUUUCUGGGGGGCAGUCUCUGACCCACUGUGGCCCAGGUACAGAACCCCGCCUUCAAGUCUCUGGGCCUCAGUUUUCUCAUCUGUGUGUUGGGGACAAAGACGCCGCCCGGCCAUCUCACCAGGCUGCCGAGCAGCGUGGAAGAGCUCUGGCUGUGAGUUCCAGAGUUCACAAGUCCGUGUAAUGGAGGCAUCGGCCGGCCUGGUUCCUUGAGAGGGGGUGAGGGAUCUGCUUCCCACUUCCGGCUUCUGGGGCUGUGCCGCAGUUUCUGCUGCUCUUCUGCUUGUGGAAGCAUCAUGGUCUCUGUCUUCACCUCACACCUGCUCCCUGUGCCCGUCUGUGCCCAAUUUCCCCUUUUCUCAGGGCCCAGACAUCUUAGAUAAGGGCUCACCCCAACCUAGCAUGACCUCAUCUUAGCCAAUUACGUUACCAGUGACCCUAUUUCCAAAUAAGGCCACUUCCUGGGGUGCUGGGGAAAGGACUUCAACGUGAAGUUUUGGGAGACACAGGUGCGCCCACAUCACCAGGGGUGUGUGAGCAUGAUGAGCAGCUCGGGGCUCUGGACCUGUCUGCGGGAGCUCCGAGUCCCACGGCACUUGGAGCUGGUUGAGAAUGGGGCUGGGAGCCCCAGGUCAGGUUGAAUUGGUGCUGGGGACACAUGUCUCGUCCCUGGUUCCCCCAGGCUUUAUUAUGACGCACAGUUUCCCGAGAAGCGGAGUCUGAGAUGGAGACUUUUGUACAAGGGACUCACUGAGAGGUACUCCCAGGAGAAAGUGGGGGUGAGACGCAGGACUGGGGGAGCUGAGCUGGGAGGGGCUCUCAGCCACAGCCCAGCCACAGCCCCAGAACCUGAAACGCACCCCAGAGUCAGCCCCACUCACUCAGAAGGGGGGUCCCUGCACCCUCCUCUGGCAGCCAUUGGCUGUGGUGGCCUCACAGGUGGGGCCCAGGGGUCUGUGUUCACACUGCCCAGCAGCAGGCGAGGCACACGGUGGGCUCUGGACGGUGGGCACUUGCUGGCUACACGUGGGGACAGAGCGGGUCCUUCCCUGCACCCUCUAUUCAUUUAUCCACACAGGGAUUAAUUCGUUUGUCCACUCGCUGGUUCCAUUCAGCACACCCCAUUCGCUCAGCUCAGCGUGGGCGGCAGAGGGGUCAGAGGUGGUGGGGGCCCAUGACCUCCUCUCUGGAGCUGCGCUAAACUGGCCAGCUGGCUCCUGGCUGGGGCCUCUCUGGGACUCAUCCUCCUGCCCUACUCACCUCCCUCUGCCUCUGUGCUUGCUGCUGACCACCACCCAAAGAAGCAGGCAUUUCUGGGCGAGGUGGGUCCCGGCCCCCUGUGGCCGAAGGUGUUCCCUGGGAAUGGACAGCUGUGAGCAGGCGGAGCCACACACAGAGCCACCGACCGGGCUGUGUAGGUGAAGGAGCCACGUGGAGGUGUGCAGGAGGUGGAACACUUAGGACCCUUUCCCGUGGGCAGAGACCCAGUGCCGGGGGAGGCCUGGCUGGGUCGUACCCCCAGCCUCACCCUGGCUCAGGACACCGGCACCCAGAAUCCUUGGGCCACUCCGAGCCCAGAGGCACCCAGGCCCUCCUUGAGCUACAUGCAGCUUUAAAACACACAUGUCCUUUGACCUCCUCCCACCCAGGGGGUUUCUCUGCUCUCUCCCCUUGAAUCUGGCGGCCUCCACCCCGCCCCGACCCCACACAAAUG
rnacentral:lncRNA from 1 species